rnacentral:rRNA from 1 species
GGGUGAGUAACACGUAGGUAACCUGCCCCGGAGCGGGGGAUAACAUUUGGAAACAGAUGCUAAUACCGCAUAACAACGAAAGCCACAUGGCUUUUGUUUGAAAGAUGGCUUUGGCUAUCACUCUGGGAUGGACCUGCGGUGCAUUAGCUAGUUGGUAAGGUAACGGCUUACCAAGGCGAUGAUGCAUAGCCGAGUUGAGAGACUGAUCGGCCACAAUGGAACUGAGACACGGUCCAUACUCCUACGGGAAGCAGCAGUAGGGAAUCUUCCACAAUGGGCGCAAGCCUGAUGGAGCAACACCGCGUGAGUGAAGAAGGGUUUCGGCUCGUAAAGCUCUGUUGUUGGAGAAGAACGUGCGUGAGAGUAACUGUUCACGCAGUGACGGUAUCCAACCAGAAAGUCACGGCUAACUACGUGCCAGCAGCCGCGGUAAUACGUAGGUGGCAAGCGUUAUCCGGAUUUAUUGGGCGUAAAGCGAGCGCAGGCGGUUGCUUAGGUCUGAUGUGAAAGCCUUCGGCUUAACCGAAGAAGUGCAUCGGAAACCGGGCGACUUGAGUGCAGAAGAGGACAGUGGAACUCCAUGUGUAGCGGUGGAAUGCGUAGAUAUAUGGAAGAACACCAGUGGCGAAGGCGGCUGUCUGGUCUGCAACUGACGCUGAGGCUCGAAAGCAUGGGUAGCGAACAGGAUUAGAUACCCUGGUAGUCCAUGCCGUAAACGAU